rnacentral:rRNA from 1 species
CGGACGGGUGAGUAACACGUGGAUAACCUACCUAUAAGACUGGGAUAACUUCGGGAAACCGGAGCUAAUACCGGAUAAUAUAUUGAACCGCAUGGUUCAAUAGUGAAAGACGGUUUUGCUGUCACUUAUAGAUGGAUCCGCGCCGCAUUAGCUAGUUGGUAAGGUAACGGCUUACCAAGGCAACGAUGCGUAGCCGACCUGAGAGGGUGAUCGGCCACACUGGAACUGAGACACGGUCCAGACUCCUACGGGAGGCAGCAGUAGGGAAUCUUCCGCAAUGGGCGAAAGCCUGACGGAGCAACGCCGCGUGAGUGAUGAAGGUCUUCGGAUCGUAAAACUCUGUUAUUAGGGAAGAACAAAUGUGUAAGUAACUAUGCACGUCUUGACGGUACCUAAUCAGAAAGCCACGGCUAACUACGUGCCAGCAGCCGCGGUAAUACGUAGGUGGCAAGCGUUAUCCGGAAUUAUUGGGCGUAAAGCGCGCGUAGGCGGUUUUUUAAGUCUGAUGUGAAAGCCCACGGCUCAACCGUGGAGGGUCAUUGGAAACUGGAAAACUUGAGUGCAGAAGAGGAGAGUGGAAUUCCAUGUGUAGCGGUGAAAUGCGCAGAGAUAUGGAGGAACACCAGUGGCGAAGGCGACUUUCUGGUCUGUAACUGACGCUGAUGUGCGAAAGCGUGGGGAUCAAACAGGAUUAGAUACCCUGGUAGUCCACGCCGUAUACGAUGAGUGCUAAGUGUUAGGGGGUUUCCG